rnacentral:rRNA from 1 species
AGUGAACGCUGGCGGCAGGCCUAACACAUGCAAGUCGAACGGCAGCACAGGAGAGCUUGCUCUCUGGGUGGCGAGUGGCGGACGGGUGAGGAAUACAUCGGAAUCUGCUCAGUCGUGGGGGAUAACGUAGGGAAACUUACGCUAAUACCGCAUACGACCUUCGGGUGAAAGAGGGGGAUCGCAAGACCUCUUGCGAUUGGAUGAGCCGAUGUCGGAUUAGCUAGUUGGCGGGGUAAUGGCCCACCAAGGCGACGAUCCGUAGCUGGUCUGAGAGGAUGAUCAGCCACACUGGAACUGAGACACGGUCCAGACUCCUACGGGAGGCAGCAGUGGGGAAUAUUGGACAAUGGGCGCAAGCCUGAUCCAGCCAUACCGCGUGGGUGAAGAAGGCCUUCGGGUUGUAAAGCCCUUUUGUUGGGAAAGAAAUCUUUCAGGCUAAUACCCUGGGAGGAUGACGGUACCCAAAGAAUAAGCACCGGCUAACUUCGUG